rnacentral:misc_RNA from 1 species
AAGUCGUAACAAGGUUUCCGUAGGUGAACCUGCGGAAGGAUCAUUAUCGAAUUUACCGAGGGUUGUUGCUGGGGUCCCUAACCGGGAUUCAAGUGCACGCCCUUGUCUAUUCUCAAACCCCUGUGCACUUAUUGUAGGCUCGGUGGAAAGGCCGACUUCGGUCGGUCUGAAAGCCUUGCCUAUGCUUUAACACACGCUUCAGUCUAUGAAUGUAACUUUGCGGAUAACGCGUUAAAUACAACUUUCAACAACGGAUCUCUUGGCUCUC